UGGGGAAUCUUGCACAAUGGGGGAAACCCUGAUGCAGCGACGCCGCGUGAGCGAUGAAGCCCUUCGGGGUGUAAAGCUCUUUCGGCAGGGAAGAUUAUGACGGUACCUGCAGAAGCAGCUGCGGCUAACUACGUGCCAGCAGCCGCGGUAAUACGUAGGCAGCAAGCGUUGUUCGGAGUUACUGGGCGUAAAGGGUGUGUAGGUGGCCUGUUAAGUUCCGUGUGAAAUCUCCCGGCUCAACCGGGAGGGUGCGCGGAAAACUGGCGGGCUAGAGUACGGGAUGGGAGAGUAGAAUUCCUGGUGUAGCGGUGAAAUGCGUAGAUAUCAGGAGGAAUACCGGUGGUGUAGACGGCUCUCUGGACCGUAACUGACACUGAGACACGAAAGCGUGGGUAGCAAACA
rnacentral:rRNA from 1 species